ensembl:ncRNA C08C3.7 ncRNA
AUUCUCCGUUGUUAAUAACAAUCAUAAUAACACCGGGUUCCAUAAUACAAUGGCUCGUAAAAAUAUUAACAGGUUGUUGUUCUUCUGCUCCUGGAACACUGCCAAGGCAGAUGGCGGUGAAAAGGAAGCGACUGUAAAAGGUCGUAAA